rnacentral:rRNA from 1 species
GCAAGUCGAACGGCAGCGCGGGGAGCUUGCUCCCUGGCGGCGAGUGGCGGACGGGUGAGUAAUGCAUAGGAAUCUGCCCAGUAGUGGGGGACAACCCGAGGAAACUCGGGCUAAUACCGCAUACGCCCUACGGGGGAAAGCGGGGGCUCUUCGGACCUCGCGCUAUUGGAUGAGCCUAUGUCGGAUUAGCUUGUUGGUGAGGUAAAAGCUCACCAAGGCGACGAUCCGUAGCUGGUCUGAGAGGACGAUCAGCCACACUGGGACUGAGACACGGCCCAGACUCCUACGGGAGGCAGCAGUGGGGAAUAUUGGACAAUGGGCGCAAGCCUGAUCCAGCAAUGCCGCGUGUGUGAAGAAGGCCUUAGGGUUGUAAAGCACUUUCAGUGAGGAAGAAAAGCGGGGUGUUAAUACCACCUAGUCUUGACGUUACUCACAGAAGAAGCACCGGCUAACUCUGUGCCAGCAGCCGCGGUAAUACAGAGGGUGCGAGCGUUAAUCGGAAUCACUGGGCGUAAAGGGCGCGUAGGCGGCCAAGUAAGUCGGAUGUGAAAGCCCUGGGCUUAACCUAGGAACUGCAUUCGAUACUGCUCGGCUAGAGUA